rnacentral:misc_RNA from 1 species
UUCAUAACCUGGACAUACAGAUUAUUUCACUGGAGUGAGGAAAGAAAAUUUUAAUUUACUUGCAGUGUAAAUGUGAGUGUGUCACCUGGUGAGUGAAUAUUGAGUGAGUUUAUUGGGAAGUUUGUGGAAAAAGGAGAAUUUACAAUCAUAAGGUAACGGAAACUCAGGCGGAACUGUUCAUGUCUUGUUGAGGGUAUUGUGUGAGCGUACAGCUUGGGGUGUGUUAUGGUUCUAUAUUGCUUCUGUACAUGCACAAUACUCAUCAUUGACAGGGAAUAACAGGCUGGAGUCACUGCUUGAAUGAAGAAGUGCUGUACAUUGUAAACCUGAAAGUAUUCUAUGCGAUAGCUUUCCGGAAGGGAAAAGUUAGUGUGUGACCAUAUAUCACUGUUCAGUGUCUUGUCAGCCAAACUUGAUCCAACUUGUGAUUAUCGUGUUGAAUGAAGAUUGCGUAGGACUCGCUGUGAGGAAAACUGUACUCUUACUGAUCAAUAGAAUUCCUUUUUCUUACCACAUAUCGCCAACCCGGACAAAACAAGUCAGAGCCGUGUAUGUGUACUGUUUUGACAUUGACGUGAUUUCGAAAUGAAUGUGACAGCAGGUGAAAUGUACAUGCAACUGAGAGCUGUUUUGAAAUUCGUGUUGGCCAAUAUUAACCAAUCCAAGUGAUCAGUGCAUUAGGUAGAGAGAGAUAGGGGUACGCCUCCCAACAACCACAGUACAGAGAUAGUGAUAUCUUCCGCGCUGUAUCAACACAAGAGUAGGACACAGUCAGUUGGGAGGAUAUCGUAGUGAGAGAGAGAGAGGCUCAGUCAGCUGACUGGUGAGAUUAUUGAGAGGCCGUUCCUCCCCUCCUCUCCCACAGGUGGAGUGCCAUCCUGGAUUAUCUGCCAUCGACAUCAGAACUGUCAAGAUUUUAUUUUCAAGUCCAUGCUGUGAAUUGCUGAAGCUUCAGUGUGUUGUAUUACAGCUGAAUUUUGUUCCCGGUGUGAGGAAAUUUCUAGAAGCAAAUUGAUUGUUUGGGAGUGAUUGUAUUUGUGGGAUAGCGUGAGCUAUUUCAAAGUGAUUUGCUUCCAACUGAAGCCAGUGUUUUCCGAGGGUGGCUAUUUUUGGAUUACAAAACGUAACGUGAAGACAGGCAUGCCAAGAUGAAACUUCUCGGAGUAGAAGCCGUAAAUGAGGAAACCGCCUUCAUACCGAAGACCGGUGCUGACCAGACACCAGCAGAAACUCCUACUAUCAUAGUAAGUUCUGCCGAUCAGCAACCCAACGGGAAUGAAAUUGAAAAGGCAGCUCCAACGGAUGAGGAAGAAAAAGGAGAUAAUGCCCACCUUUCCAAGGACCAGAUACCUCUGGCUGAUGCCGAGGACCCGGAAUCUCCGUUUGCCAAUCAUAUGGCACUGUAUGAGGAUGACUUGCAACAUCAGGGUAAAAUCUCACAAAUCAUUAACCGUAUUGCCAACUACCAAGCAGGCAUUACGCCCAAUCCUAACGACGUGGAAAAGGGAAAGGGCCAACAGACAAAAAAAGCCAACCUAGGGACCGUACUAGGGGUGUAUCUACCAUGUAUACAGAACAUCUUCGGUAUCCUUCUGUUUGUGCGGAUGACAUGGAUUGUAGGAAUGGCAGGUGCCAUGGAGUCUUUCUUCAUCGUCCUCAUCAGUUGUCUGACGACACUGUUGACCUCCAUUUCAAUGAGUGCUAUUGCCACAAAUGGCGUUGUCCCUGCCGGGGGAUCUUACUUCAUGAUUUCUCGGGCUCUGGGACCUGAGUUUGGAGGUGCUGUAGGAGUGCUCUUCUAUCUGGGGACAGCUGUAGCUUCUUCCAUGUACAUCAUUGGUGCUGUGGAGAUAUUAGUGACUUACAUGGCACCACCGAUGGACAUUUUUGGGAAUAUAUUCCACAGUUACAGAUUAUAUGGAACAGCAGUCAUGCUGGUCCUAGCGUUUGUAGUGUUCAUUGGUGUCAAGUUCGUCAGCAAGUUUGCUGCUCUGUCACUGGCCUGUGUCAUCAUAUCUAUAGUCUCCAUCUACGUGGGCAUCUUCGCCUCAAACCCCGACAGCAGUGUGGAGAUAUGUGUUCUCGGAGAUCGACUGCUGACAAGUGAUUCUGUCAUGGUGAAUGGAACCUUCUUCUGUGAGAAAAACAUUUCCAGCGCCAUCUACCACAAUUACUGUGGCGUGAACAACAACACCGGUGACGCAUGCGAGUACUACAACAAAAACGAAGUCCAUCAACUCAAGGGUAUUCCAGGCAUUGCAAGUGGGAAAUUUAUGGAGAAUGUUUACAACCACUACACUGAGGAAGCAAACAUCGUUGGCACCGAUCAGAAGGGGUCUGAGGUUAGAGGGGAGGUCUUGGCCGAGAUAACAACGUCAUUCAUGAUCCUCCUGGCUAUCUACUUUCCCUCAGUUACAGGCAUCAUGGCCGGUUCCAACAGGUCUGGUGACCUUGCUGAUGCCCAGAAAUCCAUUCCAGCAGGAACUAUAGCUGCUAUUUUAACCACUUCCGCUGUGUAUAUCAGCUCGGUGCUGUUCUUUGCUGCAUGUAUUGAAGGUCAUCUACUGAGAGACAAGUAUGGUGUCAGUAUAGGUGGGAGUCUGCUGAUUGGAACGCUGGCCUGGCCGAACGAGUGGGUCAUCAUGAUUGGAGCCUUCCUGUCCACACUUGGGGCGGGGCUGCAGACUCUCACAGGUGCUCCUCGCUUGCUUCAAGCCAUUGCCACCGACAAUGUCAUCCCAUUCCUGUCCAUAUUCAGUAAAACAACGAAACGUGGCGAGCCAGUGCGCGCCCUCCUGCUCACCAUGCUUAUCUCCGAGUUUGGCAUCCUCAUUGCCAGCCUGGACUAUGUUGCUCCCAUUAUUACCAUGUUCUUCCUCAUGUGCUACGGCUUUGUGAACAUGGCUUGUGCGAUGUUGACGCUGCUACGAACACCAAACUGGCGACCUCGGUUCCGUUUUUACCAUUGGAUACUGUCGUUGGUGGGACUCACGCUAUGCAUCACACUCAUGUUCAUAUCAAGCUGGUACUAUGCCCUGACGGCCAUCGCUCUGGCCUGCUGUAUAUACAAGUACAUUGAAUACAAGGGUGCUGAGAAGGAGUGGGGUGAUGGUAUUCGAGGUUUAGCGAUGUCUGCCGCUCGUUACUCCUUGCUGCGGCUCCAGGAAGGGCCCCCACACACCAAGAACUGGAGACCUCAGCUGUUAGUGUUGUUAAAGUUGGAUGACAACCUGCAACCUAAAUACCCCAAGCUUGUCAGAUUUGCCAGUCAGCUGAAAGCAGGCAAGGGUCUGACUUUAGUCAACACAGUGAUUGAAGGAACAUUCACGGAAAAGUUUGCAGAUGCUCAAGCUGCCAAACUUGCCCUAGACAAGCUGAUAAAGGAUUACGGCGUGAAGGGAUUCUCUGAUGUAUUGAUAGCCAGGUCUGUCACAGAGGGACUGUGUCAUUUAGUACAGAACGCUGGUCUGGGAGGGUUGAAACACAACACAGUCGUCGUUGGAUGGCCAUACGGCUGGAGACAUGACUCGGAUGAAAGGAGUUACAAAGUGUUCCUGGACACUGUACGAAAUGUGGGAGCUGGUCAGUUGGCCCUGUUGGUGUGUAAAGGAAUCGCUAUGUUCCCUGACAAUGAGAAACUGCGUGGUACGAUUGACGUCUGGUGGAUUGUUCAUGAUGGCGGGCUGUUGAUGUUGCUGCCCUUCCUCCUGAGGAUGGACCGAUCAUGGAAGAACUGCAAGCUGAGGAUCUUUACUGUGGCUCAAAUGGAAGACAACUCGAUUGAGAUGAUGAAGGAUUUGAAGACAUACCUUUACCAGCUGCGUAUCGAGGCUGAGGUCAAUGUUGUGGAGAUGAGCACCAUUGACAUCUCUGCAUACACAUAUGAGCGUACACUGAUGAUGGAACAGAGAACCCAGAUGUUGAGGGACAUGAGACUGAAUAAAAUGGAGCCACAAGCCAUUGUGGAUCGAUCCCACCUGACACCAUCAGAUGUGAUGUUACGUCUGGACCCAGUCCCUGAGGAGAACGAUGACGAGAGCUCAACUGACCCCACCGAUCACAGUAAACGCAACCAGUUCACCUUCACCCCUCAGCAAGGGGGGCAACUCCUCAAUCUCAAGCCAUCUUCUCAGUCACUUCCUAAGCCAGACACAAGGAAUGUGAGGAGAAUGCACACCGCAGUGCGACUCAAUGAACACAUCGUAGAGAAAUCCCAUGAUGCUCAACUUGUGAUUCUUAACUUACCUGCACCACCAAAGUCAAGUGCUGGGGAAGAAAGCUACAUGGAGUUCCUGGAAGUGUUGACAGAGGGUCUGGACCGAGUACUGAUGGUGAGAGGAAGUGGCCGUGAGGUUAUCACCAUCUACUCUUGAUGACCUUUCAUGUAGGUCAAGGUCAGCGCAGAAGUCACAUAUCAGGGAGGCAAACAGUUGUUUGAUGAGGACUUGUAAUCCAACCAAGGAUGUGAUGUCACUGAUGGAUAGAUAAGCAGGAGGACAGUUUAUUUUGAUAACAUCGGUAUACGCUUUGAAGCUGUUGUGGUGGAUGGAUGGAAAAUUAUUUUAGUAAACUAUUUAGGGUAGGGGAAGAUAUUUUAUGGCAAUUCCAAUAACUUAUGUAAUCCAUUAAUGUAAAUAUAAAUAUCAGUGUAUGAUCUAUAUCAUGAAUCAGUUUUCCCUUACAAACAAUAUUCUGAACACAGUAUUUAAAAUCUUAAUCAUUUCUUUUCUCUUUGUCAAUAAUAAUUGGAUAAGAACAGUUUUAACAAAUGCCAUUCCAUGGCCUUUUCAGAGAGCACCGAAACAUUUACAUAUUUAUGUCAUGACAUUACUUCUGUUCCCAUAGUGACCAUGGGUUGAAUUACGUCUUGGUUAACUAACAUCAUUGCCUGUUUGACUUAAUUUUCUAUCCAUGAUACAUAAAACUGUUUAGAUAUACCUCAGUUACUGUGUUGCUAAGCAACCAGUCAAGGUCACAUUUUAUUAGACUUUCUGUCAUCUGCAUAUUAUGUUGCAAUGUACAUAGCUCGCUGGAACUUGUGAUUUAAAUUAUGGAGACAUUCUAUGUAUAUCCAGUAUUUAAUGUCAGAUGGUGUACAUAUCAAAUGGCGUUUUAUCCAUCAGAGCAGAGAAGGUUGUCUUUGGGCAAUGGUUACCCCCGUAAGCUAACUGUAGGCACUUAGAAUGCUUAUGACGGAGUGGUCAUCAAUCAUAGAUUCUGCGGUCUGAAUUUCAAACAUGUGAUCUAGCACCCUUAUUGUACUGAGUUUACCAUAGGAAUAUAAAAAUCAAAACAUGACGUGCCAAUUAUUGCCUCUUAUUCAUGUUCAAAUGGUGUUAUAUAUUACAAGUAAUAAUUUUAUUUUAACAAUGCCAUAAAGUCCCUGAUUAAUUCUCCCUUGAAUUUUGUCGAAAGUUUUAAAAAAAUGAAAAUUGUGAUACAUAUUAUUGUGUCACAUUGCAGGCAUUGUGUUGUUCAUGGAUUACACGAAUCUGCAAACAUGACCAUAUUAAUGAAAUGGCUCAAUGAUUUCUGUCUAGACCAAUAUUGUUUUUUUUAUUUCUGAAUGUCCUUGUUAUUUAUUUUGUGCUGAAAAUACAUGUUUUAUCAUCCUCUGUCUUAUCAUACAUUAUAAAACAUCUCCCAUUAAUCAAAUAUGGACUUUUUAUGCCUGGAUGUUGUGGCUCGGAACUUCAAUACACAUCUGUCUCAGUGGAACACCAAAUACUGUCUGCUUUUGGCUUACUGCUUAGAUAUCACACUUGACUGCUUGGCAUAUUCACAGCCUUUCUCCAUGUAAUUGGAGAAUGCUGAUUCAAUGCUAUUUUAGUUGUAGAUAAAGUUGACAUGAAGGAUAUAUAUAUAUGUUUCAUGUAAUCAAAUAUUCUUUAAAGAAUGUACUUGUGUCAAAGUAGACAUUUUACAAUAUUAUUUACAAUGUUGAGUUCGAAAAACAUUAUUAGCCUGUGUUGAAAUAUUGAAUAUGGGCAUACAGAAUAUAAUGAUUUUUAUUUUUGUAUUUCCUGAAAACUGUUAUUAUCCAGAAUGAAGAAAGUACGGGCACUAUGGAGUUAACUUUAUUUAUCCAAUGGAAUUAUGUUCCUUAUUGCUGCUCUGCUGACGUUGACAUAUCACCAUGGCAACCACCAACUAUAUAUAUGCUACUAUUCAAACAACUUGUUCCAUAACAGGAUGAAUUAUGUUGGACUGGGUAGUCAGGUAUGGAAGAUUUAACAAUAAGUGUUGUGCUAUUUCAGUCAGGUACGGAAGAUUUAACAAUAAGUGUUGUGUUAUUUUUAGACUAUUAUUUCCUGAUGAUAGAUGAUUUUAAUGCUGAAGAUAAUUUGAUGAUGUACAUCCUUGAAGGCCAUAAUCAAAUCUCGUUCCUGUAUAUUUCGUGUCGUGUACUGCUGGAAAUAUAUAUCUGAUAGACAUGUGCAACAUAUUUUGUAUUACAUUUUUUCAUUGGCAGGUUCCAUUUUCGUAGGUUUGCAUCAUAUACAGUGAGACACUGUUGAACCUGGCUGUACUGUUUGGUGGUAUGGGUUAUUAAUCUAUGAUAAUGGAGAGAUAUCACUCUGCAUCAAUGUUAUAUUGUGGCAUUUCACUACAUAAAUAUUACACCUGUAGUUGUGAUCAAGUUAAAGCCUGAUAUAUUUGCUAUUAUCAAGUUUGACAAAGAAGCAGAAAAUGUGGCACAGUGACUGCUAAUAGCAAAGAUUUUGCUGGAAAGUAAUUGGGUUAUUUUCAGUUAUUCAGAUAGAUCAACAUUUCAGACAUACUGUGUUUAAGAAUGACUCUGCUUCCCCUUUAUUUGACCGAGAAACAAAUUUUUGAUAUCACCUGAAGAUAGUUCUCAUUGCAUAUCUUUUAUGUUCAUAAUCAAUGUUUUAUCUUUGUUAUUAUCUGAAGAACAGUUUUAAUUUGGACCAUUAUAUUAUUUUGAUAGUUUAUUUCUAGUCACAGGGUCUCAAAGGAUUUAUCUUGUUAAAUUAUUUUGUUAUAUUGUGUUUUAUUACUUAAAUUACACUCUGUCAUCAAUCUCUCCCUGGCUUGUCAUUCAGUUCAAAUGUACCUUAAUAUGAAUGUGUUGGAUACAAGAUAGUAAGAUUCUGACUUGUAGGAAUAACUAAAGUAAUCUUGCAUGUCCUCAUAUCAGGACAUUAUUGUACUGUCGAUAUGUUUUAUCAUUUCUAUCAAAUUCUGUGAAAUAUAUGAAAACAUAUCUGUCAACAUGGAUUUCAACAUGUUCCUUCAGUGAAUAUUUGUAUACAGGUGUUAGUACUUUUAUCAAUCACAUGAUAGAGUUUGCUUUAUAAAGGUACUGAACAUCCCUUUGAAAGAAUAUAGAAGUUGAUGUCAACCACAGUUCAUAGUAACUAUCCCAUUGUUAUAACAUAAUCUGAAUUGUACUAUUGUCAGCUUUUAGCAUGAUUAAGAAAAGGUUUUCUCGCUUUUAUUUUUACUGAUACUUUUAUCAAUGCGGCUUAAUAUACUGGACAAAAUAAGUUAGGGAUAUUGGUAUUUUUGUUAUUGAUAUUUUAUCAGUGUGUCAAUGAAUAAAUAGAUCAUUAUUCAUAAUUUCAAAAGUUACAUAUAUCCCUAAAUAUUUUUGUCCAGUAUAUUAAGGUCAAAUACACAAUGUGAAACUAAAAAUAUAUAGAAUGUACUUUCUUUCAGUACUUUUUUUCUUGUGAAGCAAGUGGUUCAUAAGCAGCUUGAUUUCCAUGGAAACUUCAUGUUUUUUUUGCAUCUUUUGUCUUUAUGCAUCAAAACUUUGCAACUAAUACUUGGAAUUAACUGUUUUGAAAGUGUGUGAUUUUAUUGGGUUGUCUCCCCUUACAUCAAAUCGGCCAUAUUGCCAGGAUCUAUAGUUCAUGAUUAUUGCUUUUACUAGUAUGCUGCAAGUGCUGCCCCGUAGUGGGCAUCCAGAAAAGCAUUAUUAUGGUGAUGUUGUCAUGUGUCGAGAACACUGUAUAGGAACUCAUCAGUAGAGACGAAGAAGUGGCUGUCUAAUACUUUUGAUGAUUGUACCUCACAAUGUAGUAAUAAUAUAGGAAUAUGAUUUCGAAAUCAAUAUUGACAUGACAAGGAAAAAAUAGUCUUAACUACAAUAAGAGGCCAUAGCAAAUCAAUUAUUUGUUCUUCAGAUUCUUUGAUAAAACUUAGGUCAAAUCCCUUAUGAAAAAGGGCAAAAUGAAAAUUUCUUAUGGCUUUUGUGUGUCAUGCUGUGUUGCCACACAUUGUAACAAAAUGAUACACACGAAAGAUUUCAGGAAGCACCUGUUGUUUUUCUUGCCAAAACUUUAGAAAGGAGGUAUUUUUGCCUGAUACUUUUAACUGAAAUUUGGUAAUAUGUGCCUUAUAAAAUAUACACACACAAAAUUGAAACCAAGAUACUGCUAGUGGAAAGGCAGAGAUUUGGCGAACAAAUAAUGAAUUUAUUAUGGUGUAGGUUUGUUUCAGUGAGCUUCAACAUGUAUUAUGCUAUUGGUGCUUCAUUGUCGAUGUGAUUUGUUGCCCUAGAUAGUUUGGUAGUUGCUGGCUGUCUAACUUGGGUAAUAAGUAAGAUACAGUUUUGUCGCUACUUUUGUAGGCGUAUAUAUACAACGAACCUGUAGUUUUACUAUGUAGCAUGCUGAUAAUAUAAUAGUAUUCACCCAUUGACUUUCAUGUGCGUGAUUUCUUAAACAAUGACUCAUUCCAAAAUCUUUACAAUCUAUAGUCUGUUUGAAUUAAUUCUUUUUGGGUGUGUUCACAGUUUAAGUGGCAGUUUGUAUUUUCUAAAUCACAAGAGGUUGAUUAUUCGGUGAAUAAAUUAUGAGAUUUUUUUUACACUGAUGGAUGAAAGUGAAGUUAUUUUCAAGAAACCCAUUGUAAAGAAGCCCUCCAGUUUAUUAUUAUGAUUAUAUAUAUGUCUAUGUAGAUUUACAUCUCAAGGUAGAUUAUUCAUUAGUUGAAAACUGUCUUGGCUUAAAAGUGAAAACAUCUGAAGAGGCAUUAGCAAAUGAUUUGGAAGAACAGUUUUGAGAGAAUGUAUGGUUGCCAUUACAAUAUAAUCUAAAUGAUAUACUUAAUAUUAUACAUACAUUUCUUUGGAGUUUUUCAGUGUGUGUGUUAAAGAAUGUAGUGUGUAGUUGCGUUGUGAAAGACUUCAUGCAGUUAGUGUUUACUAUUUAUCUAAUGAUAUCAUUAUUAUUAUUAUACAACAGUAAUAGCAAAUAUGUGUGAAACAACUCUGUAUGAAAAUGUUUCCAUGCAUUUUUCAUGGGCAAAUGUAUCGCUACAUUUAAUACAGUGACAAUAUAGAACAAUAUAUUCCUUUUUAAUAAGACAAUUUUCUGGUUGUACAUCAUUAGAUCUGUCAAUAAUUGUGAAAGCCUGAUUGCAAGUGUGUUUUUACACUGACCUAGUUAAUGAUACUUUUAUGCAAAACUUCUUUUGUUUAUGAAAGGAAUAUUUGAUUUUGACGACCAUCACUUUCAGGUUCUCUAUAUGAUGAUUCUUAUCUGUAAUAUCUUCUGAUGUAAGCCCAUGCUUACAUAUAUGUUCAAAGAGGGGUCUAUGGUUGUAUUGAUAGAUGUGUAGAAUAUUUUAUGAAACGAAAUUUGUUUGGAGAAAGAUUUCUGCCCUGUGAUGCAUAUAUGCAGGUGUAGUUGUGAUGCAAGCGUUGUGUAGCUGAAGUGUUGUAAAGGUGUAUUGCAUGAAAUCAACAACUUUAUACGUGUAUAGUCACACAAACUACAUAUGAAAUUUAUCCUAGGAGUAGAAUGUGCUGUAUGAUAGGCCUUUCACAAAUGUUGGCCAGCCAUGGGAUAAACAUUCCAGUCUUGUUUUUCAACCCUGAAUCAGAAGCUAAGUGGGUAUUAUAACUUAUAUCAGUCCUUUCGAAAGGACCAAUAACAGCAAAGCAUUUUCUUUGUGUCCAGGUCAGUUGUUUAAAUUUCCUGGUGUUUCCAUUUUCUUUUGGAUAAAAAUUUAGUAAGCAAAUUAAAAGAAAAUUUGGUUUAGCAAAUAUACCAGAUAUAUACCAGAAAUGGGCUUCACACAUUGUGACCACUCAGCUACCCCACAGUUCAGGGUUAGAAACAAGAGGGAAUAUUUAUCUUCUUUAGGUUGGUAAUGUUAGUUUUCCUGGUUUACAGGUUCCACAAGAAAAUUAAAAUAAAUAAUUAAUUUUAUCUUUUUAAUAAUUUUAAUAAUAAACAAUUUGUAAACACUAAAAUUAUUUUUAUAAGGUAUGCUUUGUGCAUGUUUUGGUCAUAUUUUAUAAAACAAAUCUGUAAACUAUGAAGCAAAAAUGGUGAAAUUGUUCAUGGGCUGUAGUAUACACAUGUUGGUACAUUGUUACAUUGUGCUGUUGACUGUACAUACAUAUUCUAUUUUACAUGGGAGCCCAUCGUCCCUGUCAUUGUCAUUUUGAAGACAGCAUUUUAUAUGUGAGGGGAAGUACUUUUGAAGCUGAUAUUGUAUAUAGAGGAAAGUGACAAUAUUGUAAUAUAAAUGAGGACACUUAAAGGCAUGUCUGUUUAAAUUAUUUGUGAUCACAUACCAAAUAAACGUUUAAUUGAUAUGUAUUUGUUUAUAUACUCUUUGUGUUCCAGUCUCUGAAAAUGCUUUUAGUUAUCAAAAACAAGGUCAUGAUAAAUGAGAAUACUGUAGAAUAUAAACAUAAGUUCUUGAUAUCAGUUGGGAUGUUAUUUAGGUUAUAAGCUGGUCAUUUGACUUCCAGGAUAAUGAUAUACAAGCUAUAAAUCAUGACAAGAAAUCUGAUAGGUAUUUAUGGUAAUCAUAAUACUAUAAUAAUGUCACGAAAAUCUGAGUGAUAAAAAUCUUAUCAAUUAUUGCCAUUUUAGGAAACAGCAUUGAAGUAUUGAAUUAUGAGACCCGCCUGUAUGUUUUGGGUGUGAUUGUUGCAGAUGUGUAGAAAAUUAACCUCAGGAUACUGUUUCUAGAUACUGUUUAGAGAAAAAACUUAUCAUUCAUAUCUCACUCCUUAUUGGAAGGAAAUGUUUCUGAAGGAUAAUUAAACUGUAGUGUUCGGCAGUGUGAGAUCAUCGAUAAUCUGAUUAAGGAAAUAUUUGAAUAGUAAAUUGGUUUCUAGGGUAAAACGUUACAGUAUGUCUCAUUUACCAAGGCCUUGUCUGUAUAGGGAUGGAGAUUCCUGUGUUUCAGUUCAUACAGACCUGCUGGUGUCUUCAGCACUAGAGACUUCCUAGACUAAGGAGCAGUUAUUUUUUCAAACAUAGAUUGCUUCUGAACUAAAGUCACUUCAGAAUUAAA